GGCCUGAUGGUCUAGUGGUAUGAUUGUCGCUUCGGGUUUUGCGCCUGGAUUCUUAGAAUCUAAAAUGUGACAGGCCCCGGGUUCGAAUCCCGGUCAGGCCC
rfam:Clohesyomyces aquaticus strain CBS 115471 BCR34scaffold_87, whole genome shotgun sequence.